rnacentral:rRNA from 1 species
AGCUCCAAUAGCGUAUAUUAAUGUUGUUGCAGUUAAAAAGCUCGUAGUUGGAUUCCUGGCUCGAGGCAGCCGGUCCGCCUUGCAAAAGGUGCGCACUGUGCGGCCCCGGCCAUCCUUUGGAAAAGCGGCCCUGGCAUUCAGUUGUCGGGGUCGGGCUUCCAAACGUUUACUGUGAAAAAAUCAGAGUGUUCAAAGCAGGCUUACGCCUUGAAUACAUUAGCAUGGAAUAAUGAGAUAAGACUUUGGCGGUCUAUUUUGUUGGUUUGCACGCCGAAGUAAUGAUUAACAGGGACGGUUGGGGUUCUUCGUAUUCAAUUGUCAGAGGUGAAAUUCUUGGAUUUAUGGAAGACGAACUGCUGCGAAAGCGUCGAACAAGGACGUUCUCA